GCAUUGAUGGUUCAAUGGUAGAAUUCUUGCCUUGUAUGCAGGAGGCCUGGGUUCAACUCGCAGCCAGUGCA